rnacentral:lncRNA from 1 species
UGCAGAUUGGCAAUCCCUCAAUUCUGGGAGGCCUCAUCACCACUUAAAAAGGGACGGUCAACAUAAUCGUAUUGGCUGGCCCCCCUGCGGGAGAGGCAUGUCAUGCAGCAAAAUAAUUCUGCUGAUGCUGCUUGAAUCAUUUCCCCAAACAGAGUGAGCUGCAGCGACAGCCACCCUUCUUUGCCAGUGUACCGCCACGUACUACUUAAGCCUUUGCUAGCCAAGCCAUGUUGGUUCAGGCGGGGAAACAGACUGCCUGGAGGCUUCUCGGUAAUGCAGGCGUGCUGAAAGUUGGUGCCCCAGGGAGAGAAGGCAGAGCUGGACAAAACGUGGACCCUUUUUGCCACGCGAGUCAGGGAUGUCGGGUUCAUCCUGAAGAAAUGGCCAGAUUCCCCAGGUUUGGCUGUCAGUUCGGCUCUGCGUCCGUCGCUUCACAGUGUGCCUCCCGCCGAGGGCAGCGGUGGGGGAAGAAAGUAAAACGUUCCCGGUUCCAGUUCCAAGAAGCGUAGCUGUGACGGCCACGUCUUUCAUUUCUCAAAGGAGCAGGGGCGAGCUGCCCCUCCUCGCGGAUUUGCACAGUGAUCGUAGUAUGACACGCAACGCAUCCAUCUCUCCUGUGAACUAUGUAAAACCAUCUCUUCCUCGCUAACAAAUACCCGUUUUUUUCAACGCAUAAGUGAAAACAAAACAACAACAACGAGAGGAACUGAAAUGUGGAUGCAAUUACAUCUUUUUAAAGCUAUUAGUUCUAGCUGAGAGCUUGUCAAGCUUGGAACCAAAACUGGCUAUAGCUUUUUUUCAGUAAUACUAUGAACGCCGGGGUUGUGCAGCCUCACAGAGAAACCAGCUCUGUAAAGCAUCUCUAGUACUCGAAGCGCAACUCAGUAACAAGUCCAUCGUGGUAACGAGUUUCAGGACCCAGCAAAACAGCAGGGUCCCUGUGCCCGUCCUGGGAGCUGCCUGCGCGCCCAGGGGUGACCCUGAAGCUGUCUCCUGUGGUGCAGACAGACAUGAGCCUGGGAGUUAGCUGGAAGUGUGAUUCGCCCCCCCAGCUCUACCACAGGCUGCGAACUUCACACGGAGGGCGCCAAGAGGCGGCAGGGGAUUUGCUCCUUCUCCUUCACUUCAAUAUUAAGCGAGGCUUUGGCCAGUGUGUAGCAUGCCUUGUUUCUGCUCCAGGGGCAGCAGUCCUUUAAACCAUAAAGUGCCUUACAUGAGCCUGUGCAUGAGAGUGAGUUUUGCCCUACGGUGCAUUCAAGUACUAUUAUGAAUCAUAUUUGAGAGUAAUAAAUGGUAUUGUGUAUAGGUCUACA